rnacentral:rRNA from 1 species
GAUGAACGCUAGCUACAGGCUUAACACAUGCAAGUCGCGGGACCGGCGCACGGGUGAGUAACGCGUAUCCAACCUGCCCUUCACCACGGGAUAACCCGGCGAAAGUCGGACUAAUACCGUAUGGUGACGGAUGGGGAUGCGUCCGAUUGGCUUGACGGCGGGGUAACGGCCCACCGUGGCUACGAUCGGUAGGGGUUCUGAGAGGGUGAUCCGCCACACUGGGACUGAGACACGGCCCAGACUCCUACGGGAGGCAGCAGUGGGGAAUUUUGGACAAUGGGCGCAAGCCUGAUCCAGCCAUGCCGCGUGUCUGAAGAAGGCUUCGGGUUGUAAAGGACUUUUGUCAGGGAAGCGGUACCUGAAGAAUAAGCACCGGCUAACUACGUGCCAGCAGCCGCGGUAAUAC